AAUAGUUUUAUGCCACAUCAGCAUUUUGAUCUUGAAUUUCAGCAUUUUCAUCAUGAAAAAAAUCAAAUCCAAAUUAAAAUCCUGAAAUUCAGGAUAAAUUUACUGAUAUGGCAUAAAACUAUU
rfam:Gossypium hirsutum cultivar TM-1 chromosome 5, whole genome shotgun sequence